UACCUUUUUUUGCUUUUUUUUUUUUUUUUUUUGAUGUUUGGGGGUUUUUCUUUGGCUUAUUUUUCUCUAAUCUUAUUCCUUGAAUUAUUCAAUUGCUUGCUCAUGCUGUUUAUGAGAUUAUCAAAAUGUGGACAAAGAGUACAAGAAAGAUUUAUUUUUUUUUUUCACCUACAAUAAUGAGGUUUCUUUUUCCUGGUCUCCUGGAAUGGCACCUUUCCUCUUAGAGAGGGCAAGUUUAUUGCUUGGAAGUGUAUGAAACAUACAACGUUUGUAUUGUCCAUCUGGAAUGGAGAUAUGUUGAGAAGCCAUUAGGAAGUGCUGAGAGUUUCCUUGUGCCUGUUGCAGACCUGCCAGUGUCUGGCUGCUCAGCAGGUCUGGUGCUUCACUGGCUGGCUAAAGCCUUCAGGAGCAGUGAAUCUCACCAGAGCAAUAACUUUGUGUGGGCCAUAUAUAUUAGCAGAAUUGCUGAUUUGUUUUGCUGUGAAAAUCAAUACAACAAUGGAGAAGUCUAUUGCCUCAUUAUUGCAUACAAUGUAUAAUGAAUUAUUAGCCUAAUACUGCGUACAAACUACAAUAUUGCAUGAGCAUUUGCACAAGUGUAUGAUUGCUAUGAGAAACAGGAGUGUUCAUGCACUUCUCUCUUCAGCUAAGGUGCUUCUCUUAUCUCCAAACCUAACCACUGGACAUUGACAAGUUGGUGCAAGCAACCAAAAUGCCCUUAAAUAAUUGAGGAUACAGCUAAGAAAAGUGCUAAUGACACUUGAACUAGCAAAAAGUACUGAGUUCAGAAAAAUGCGGAUGUUUUAUAUGCAGAUAAAAUUGACAUCUUUACAUUUGCCUUUCCCUUGAUAAUUGCAAAUAUGCAAAACCAAACUGUAUCUACCCCAGAAGGAGGCCCAGAGUAGGAACCAGAAAAAAUGCAGUCUCACUUCAAAGAUGAUCUACAUGACAGGGUCAGUAGUAACACAGGUGUGUCCAGUGAGAAUCCAAGACCUUGCAGAAAAUUUGUGUGGAAAAUUCAUGCUGUCUAGGAAAGGAAAAGUGUAUGCAGCAUGGGAAGUUCUCAGAGAGAGGCCUAUAUUUUCAAUAAAAAUUAAGUCCUUUUUAUAUCAUAGAGAAAUAAGAGGGCUUAGGGCAUCAGCACUUUGAAAAGCCAAUAGAUGUUCUUCAUGUCUAUUUUUCACUUUUAAAAGUCCAAGGAUGGAUGAAGUUUUCUUUUCUUUUCGUGAUUUUUGUUUCUCCAGACUGUUUCCAGUUUUUCAGAUGAUGAAUUGCCAUUCCAUUUAUGUGCAAUGGUGUCUCAGGAUAUAUGUGGUUUCUAGGUACCCAACUGUACUUCAAAGUGCCAGCUGCAUUUUUCAGGGAUGUUUCUGGUUCCCAGCUCCUGUUCCCAGGCUCACAGCUCCCUGGAUGGCAGGUGAGAAUAUAUCUCUGUAGGUCCUUCAUCAUAUUUGACAGUCUUUGUAGCUAUUUCUUAUACCUUAAAGCAUCUUGAUGAAGCAGUGACAAUGUUUGGAGAACUUGAUUGAAGCUGAAGCUACACACUAUUUGACAGGUAUGCUGGAUAUUUUACUUUGCAUGCACCAUUGAGAUUUACAAUCUGUGUUAGUAGAAAUUUAUAAGAAUAAUUAGAUAAUAUGCCAUUUAUUAUUGUCCAACACUGGAAGAUUGAAUGAUAAAAG